GAUGAACGCUGGCGGCGUGCCUAAUACAUGCAAGUCGAGCGAACAGACGAGGAGCUUGCUCCCCUGACGUUAGCGGCGGACGGGUGAGUAACACGUGGAUAACCUACCUAUAAGACUGGGAUAACUUCGGGAAACCGGAGCUAAUACCGGAUAAUAUAUUGAACCGCAUGGUUCAACAGUGAAAGACGGUUUUGCUGUCACUUAUAGAUGGAUCCGCGCCGCAUUAGCUAGUUGGUAAGGUAACGGCUUACCAAGGCAACGAUGCGUAGCCGACCUGAGAGGGUGAUCGGCCACACUGGAACUGAGACACGGUCCAGACUCCUACGGGAGGCAGCAGUAGGGAAUCUUCCGCAAUGGGCGAAAGCCUGACGGAGCAACGCCGCGUGAGUGAUGAAGGUCUUCGGAUCGUAAAACUCUGUUAUUAGGGAAGAACAAAUGUGUAAGUAACGAUGCACGUCUUGACGGUACCUAAGCAGAAAGCCACGGCUAACUACGU
rnacentral:rRNA from 1 species